rnacentral:rRNA from 1 species
AUAUCAAUAAGCGGAGGAAAAGAAACUAACAAGGAUUCCCCUAGUAACUGCGAGUGAAGCGGGAAAAGCUCAAAUUUAAAAUCUGGCGGUCUCUGGCCGUCCGAGUUGUAAUCUAGAGAAGUGUUAUCCGCGCUGGACCGUGUACAAGUCUCCUGGAAUGGAGCGUCAYAGAGGGUGAGAAUCCCGUCUUUGACACGGACUGCCAGGGCUUUGUGAUGCGCUCUCAAAGAGUCGAGUUGUUUGGGAAUGCAGCUCAAAAUGGGUGGUAAAUUCCAUCUAAAGCUAAAUAUUGGCGAGAGACCGAUAGCGAACAAGUACCGUGAGGGAAAGAUGAAAAGAACUUUGGAAAGAGAGUUAAACAGUACGUGAAAUUGCUGAAAGGGAAACGCUUGAAGUCAGUCGCGUUGGCCGGGGAUCAACCUUGCUUUUGCUGGGCGUACUUUCCGGUUGACGGGUCAGCAUCAAUUUUGACCGUUGGAUAAAGUCCAGGGGAAUGUGGCAUCUUCGGAUGUGUUAUAGCCCUUGGUCGCAUACAACGGUUGGGAUUGAGGAACUCAGCACGCCGCAAGGCCGGGUACUUGUACCACGUUCGUGCUUAGGAUGCUGGCAUAAUGGCUUUAAUCGACCCGUCUUGAAACACGGACCAAGGAGUCUAACAUGCCUGCGAGUGUUUGGGUGGAAAACUCGGACGCGUAAUGAAAGUGAAAGUUGAGAUCCCUGUCGUGGGGAGCAUCGACGCCCGGACCAGACCUUUUGUGACGGAUCCGCGGUAGAGCAUGUAUGUUGGGACCCGAAAGAUGGUGAACUAUGCCUGAAUAGGGUGAAGCCAGAGGAAACUCUGGUGGAGGCUCGUAGCGAUUCUGACGUGCAAAUCGAUCGUCAAAUUUGGGUAUAGGGGCGAAAGACUAAU